AUUAUAAGGGUAUUCUAAGGAAAACCAACAUUAAUGUAACAAUCAUGUUAGUUAAAAAUGAAAUUACUAAGGAAGAUUGUAAACGUCAUACUCAGAUUUUUCAACUUAAUUACAUUGUUUUCGUGGUAAUCGAAAAGCUGGAAUUCAUCGUAGGGCUAUUGAAUUCCAAACUUGAUGUGGUAUUAUCCGCGUUCAUGAUAAUAUCCAAUGGAAAACUUGACUUUAUCGAAAGUAGAUGCGCGGGCGCGAGCCAAACGCGGUUGGUGGGGUGGUGGAACACAUCGUCUAUUUCUUAGUGAAUACGUUCGUUUCAGUACUUGCGUCGCUUUACACCUAGUGGAUAUGUUGUUUGGUACAUCGCUAUUCUACGUCUAUUUUUGGCGCGAUAUUGUGAAUGACUAAUUUAUAAUUUAUUAAAUUACUUUUUACGUCAUUAAUGGUUUUUAAAAUAUUCGUACUGAUACCAAGUCUUCCUUGACCUUAAUGAGUAAUUUAAACGCUCACAUCAUUCAUUUCAGAUUCAAGUAAAUAAGUUGUAGAAUCUGCUGGCAAAAUUCGUUUAUUGAAAAUAAAGAAAAUUCGUCGAGGCAAAACGAAAAAACGCACUCAAGCUAAAGAGUCAUUGGAAGUAAAA